GGGGGAGGAAGGGAGAGAGAGAGAGAGAGAGAGAGGAACGAGACACGGUUGAAGGUCACAACGGCAGACACAUUAGGAGUGCUCAAAAAGACAGGCAAAAAACUGACGACAGAGCCCACAACUGACAGUGAAAGAGCAUGGGAGCGAGGCUACUCUUUACAAUUCAGCUAAUGCUGAUGGCUCGCGGGGUUUCCGUACUUUCCGAGCAUGCAGAUUGCAGGAUUUGUGAUCCAGGAUUUUUCCAGAAGUCCUGCAGCAUCUGUGACCAAUGUCCCAAUGGCACUUACACCCAGAAAAAAAACAUGGAACAGCACUGCCACCCCUGCUCACUAGACUGCAGACCUGAGUUUAACAUGGAGGUGGUUGAAGCAUGCAGUCCCAAGUCUGACGUCAAAUGUCGCUGCAAGGCUGGAUACACAUGCAAGAAAUUUGACGACUACUCUAAGAAGUGUUCACGCUGUAAAAAGGACCUCACUCCCACUACAGUAAAAAUGAAUGGUGUGUCUGUGAUCUCAUUUCAUACAGUUACCAAGACCACAGUGAGGUUACCUUGUGGCAGAGGCCUUUAUUUCAGUUCUUCUGGGCACUGUGAAAAGCACAAAGACUGUGACUCUAUAGGACUCAAAGUGCAAACAGCAGGAAACACCACCCACGACACAACCUGUCACUCACCUCAGUCUCCUCAGCCUCCUCAGCCUCCUCAGUCUCCUCAGUCUCCUCAGUCUGGUGUUGCAGGUUCUCAGUUGUGGUUGAUCCCGUUGAUUAGCAUCGGAGUCUUUGCCGUUCUUAUUCUGUUAGUCCUCUCUUGCUGCCGCAGAGAGGAUGUGUGCCUUAAGCAAUUGAUGAAGAGUUGCUCUCCAGGCAGUGAUAAAGCAGCCAUGAACGAAGCCAUGCCCAGGGGGCCAACGGCAGCAUUUCACAUCCCAGAGACUCACCCUGAUUCACUGCCAGCAGCCAAUCACAGCCACGGCCCUGCCACAGCUACUGGGGCUUUAGGCCCUCUCUACAUACACCACCCAAGCACUGUCUUUGUCAGCCUACUGAACCAGUUUGGCUUUGGAGGAGGAAGAGGAGGAGGCAGUGAGGAAGAGCAAGAACGAGCAGAGCAUGGUAACCCGAAGCCUGAGGGAAGUGAAGUGCACACUCCCUCCUCUCCCAUACCUCUAUCCACGGAAGAAAGGAGCAGAGAAGACAUCUCUGUCCCCUUUCAGGAGCAAGGGAAAGAAAGCCAUGUGUCUAAAGAGGAAGAGCUCUGAGAAACAAAGUGAGAAGGGAGGAGAGAGAUAGAUAGAGAGAGAUAGAGAGAGAACCACAGCGACACAGACAGAUAUACAGAGAGAGAGGGAAUGACUGGGAGAGAGAGAGAGAGAGAUUUGAACAACUUUCAUCAACAUGGUGCUCAUAAUUUUAGAAAAACGCACACCCUGUAUCUUUUAAACUGCCUUUUUUUUCUCAACCUUUUUGGUCAAAUUCUGCAUAUUUCAAUCACCAGAAAAAGAUUUGCACAGAAUGGCUGUGGGCAAGUAAGAAGUUAGGUGUCAGAAGGUGUCUGCUGCCUGAAGAGACACUCUAUGGACAUGCUUCUGGACAAUGUUACAGAAGGGCCUGUGUUUUUGUUGAUGUUGUGGUAGGUGUUGAUCUAAACUUUAGGUCAAAACACCUAACACAAGCAUCAGUAAGACUAAUGGCUGUACUGAGUUACUGUAACUCAUAAAUAUGCCUGUAAGAAACAAACGUUUGUAAGUGGAGGUUGCUUUAUUUAUUUAUGUUUUUAGUGCCACUAGUGCCAGACUGUGCUGUCUCACAGAAGUGCACAUAAGUCCACAGAGACAGCUGGCUGGAAUGUAUCUAGUAUUGAUCUGACACAGGUUGGUCAUGGGUCCAUUCCAGUAAAGGAUUUUCUCUAUGGACCAAAGGAAGUUGCAAUGCUUGUCAUAUGUCCUGUAUAUGGAAGUGCAAUAAAUUA
ensembl:lncRNA